rnacentral:rRNA from 1 species
CCUACGGGCGGCAGCAGUGGGGAAUAUUGCGCAAUGGGCGAAAGCCUGACGCAGCGACGCCGCGUGCGGGAUGAAGGUCUUCGGAUCGUAACCCUCUUUCAGCAGGGACGAACGGUCAGUGAGCUAAUCCGCAGUGAAUUGCCGGUACCUGCAAAGGAAGCACCGGCUAACUCCGUGCCAGCAGCCGCUGACAUACGGAGGGUGCGAGCGUUAAUCGGAAUUACUUGGCGUAAAGCGCUCGUAGGUGGUAGGUCAAGUCAAGGGUGAAAUCCCCGCGCUCAACGUGGGAACUGCCUUUGAAACUGGCAGACUGGAGUGUGUGAGAGGAUAGUGGAAUUCCAGGUGUAGGAGUGAAAUCCGUAGAUAUCUGGAGGAACAUCAGUGGCGAAGGCGACUAUCUGGCACAUAACUGACGCUGAGGAGCGAAAGCGUGGGUAGCAAACAGGAUUAGAUACCCGAGUAGUC